rnacentral:rRNA from 1 species
UAAUCAUACGCUCGUCUCAAAGAUUAAGCCAUGCAAGUGUAAGUAUAAGCUUUUAUAUAGUGAAACUGCGAAUGGCUCAUUAUAUCAGUUAUCGUUUAUUUGAUAAAAAUUACUAGAUGGAUAACCGUAGUAAUUCUAGAGCUAAUACAUGCAUAAAUUUUUAUUUUUACAAAUAAAAUGCAUUUAUUAGAAUAAAAUCAAUUUUAUUUUUUUAACCGAAAAUAAAUAUGAUGAUUCAUAAUAACUAGCAGAUCGCAGUUGGUUAAUUCCGGCGAUAAAUCAUUUAAGUUUCUGCCCUAUCAGCUUUGGAUGGUAGUGUAUUGGACUACCAUGGCAAUAACGGGUAACGAAGAAUUUGGGUUCGAUUUCGGAGAGGGAGCCUGUAGAACGGCUACCACAUCCAAGGAAGGCAGCAGGCGCGUAAAUUACCCAAUCCUAACAUAGGGAGGUAGUGACAAGAAAUAACAAUGCUGAGCGAAAGUUUAGCAAUUGUGCUGAGUGAAAUUUAAAUAAC